rnacentral:rRNA from 1 species
AUUGAACGCUGGCGGCAGGCCUAACACAUGCAAGUCGAGCGCGAGGCGGACGGGGGAGUGAUGUCUGGGAAACUGUCCGAUGGAGGGGGAUAACUACUGGAAACGGUAGCUCAAACACCAUACCCUCAGGUGUGCCCACAUGGGAUUAGCGCGUGGGUGGGGUAAUGGCUCACCUAGGCGACGAUCCCUAGCUGGUCUGAGAGGAUGACCAGCCACACUGGAACUGAGACACGGUCCAGACUCCUACGGGAGGCAGCAGUGGGGAAUAUUGCACAAUGGGCGCAAGCCUGAUGCAGCCAUGCCGCGUGUGUGAAGAAGGCCUUCGGGUUGUAAAGCACUUUCAGCGGGGAGGCGUUACCCGCAGAAGAAGCACCGGCUAACUCCGUGCCAGCAGCCGCGGUAAUUC